rnacentral:rRNA from 1 species
UACGUAGGGGGCAAGCGUUGUCCGGAAUUACUGGGCGUAAAGAGCGUGUAGGCGGUCCGGUAAGUCAGCUGUGAAAGUCAAGGGCUCAACCCUUGAAUGCCGGUUGAUACUGUCGGGCUAGAGUCCGGAAGAGGCGAGUGGAAUUCCCGGUGUAGCGGUGAAAUGCGCAGAUAUCUGGAGGAACACCAAUGGCGAAGGCAGCUCGCUGGGACGGUACUGACGCUGAGACGCGAAAGCGUGGGGAGCAAACAGG